AUUUGUUACUGGCAGAGGUCGGAAAAUUGUCAUCCAAAGUUAAUUCAUGCACUUGAGAUUGUGGCUCGUGAGGAAAAGUGUUCAUAUGUCGUGACACCUCUUGGAAAGAACGAUCAGUCAGCAGUUGCAAGUGAAUUGCUUCGCAUGUAAAACCGCCAAUCGAUUUGGGACACGCACGGUUGGAGGAUUUCUUCACUUGUAGGGAUUUCACGUUUAGAAAAUGACCGAACCCGCUCACCCCAACUCAACCCAUCUCUGCUAGCGCCCUCAGGCUCUGCCGAGAAGCCUAUCAGGGUUUUCAGAUUUUAGGUUUUACUCAAUCAGUCAGUCAGCUGCAACGCUAAUGUGACGAUCACCAUCACUUACGCUGAGCAAAUCCUGUCUGAGCCGAGCCUUGUUCCAUCUCUUGAGAGCUAUCGACGAAGUUCGUGGUUGAGAUCUGAACUUAACACUAAGCUGUUUUUUAAAGCCGACGCUAAUUGGGAGAAGUCAUUUUCUGACUUUCCAACCUUAGCAACAAUCUCGUGGCAUUUUCAAGGUUUACAUGGUGAAAACGGC